rnacentral:rRNA from 1 species
AUGCUGUGGCGGUGCGUGGGACCUCCUAGUGGACGCGUGUGUAUCUCAGGCAAGGCGGCUAGGCAUUUACGAUGUGCUGGAUUAGAUCAAUUCUCCAUCGUCCAUCCAGAUACGUGCAAACAGCGGCACAACACUAUCGCCUUCUCCCCAAAAAACAACAGCAUAGCACAGUCCUCUUCUCCCCCAGAUCCAGUCGCGCCCGAGCGCCUCCUCGUGCCCUUGUCGAGGAAGCAGGCAACCUUCGAGGCGCCCCUCUCCCACAGCUCGAACCCGAGUAGCUCGAGCCAGUCAUCCCCGCCGGCGAUCUGCAACAACAGUAGCAGGACCCCGCCGAACUCAAACAACAACAAUGGCGCCGCCACCAUGGAGCCCAGAACUCCGCCAUCACACUCGCAUCAAGUCGCCCGAACCUACACACCGACGCCCUCCGCUGCGACCCAGCAUGCCCGCGUCAGCAGGAGGAUCUCCGACACUGGCCUCGACCGCCUCCCUCUAUUCGAUAACCCCGAUUCAGACCGCCCAGAAGCCUCCAAUCCAUCAGAAGCAAUCGCUGCUUUAGGCCAACUCCACUGCACGACCCCAAACGGACGUCUGUUUUGUCUGGAUUCUGUCCGUUUGGGUAGGGAUUUGGGGUCGUGUCCGGACGUGUCCUGGGAUGCGGUGGGCAUGUGCCCAGCGCGCGGACGCAUCCCGACCGUAUCCUGUCCGCGUAUUUUUCUUUGCAAGUCCUUAACUUUUUUUUAUCAUUCAUUUUUGGUACAUGACAAUACAUCAUCACAUUUUGACUAGUAAAGCAAGGCCAAAGAAAAUAAGAACAACAAGAAUACAUUUUAGAAGAUAGCCAACUUCCAUAACUGCCCUCUUGAGUUGGGUUAGGGCCUUCUUGAUGCACUCAUUGUUGAUCUGUGGAGGAGGCUCGAUCUGGCAUCCUCCUUUCUUCUUCAAGCCAGAUGUAGAUGUUGCUUCGUGUCUAGCCUCUAAUUUAGCAAUAAGUGCACUUGUCUCAUUUACAUCCUCUAUGCUAGCUAAAAGUGCACGAACAUGUACUAAAUUUCGCUCUAUCAAUAUAUCGAUGUACUCUUUUUCCCAAUACCAAAACUUGCAUCCAUUCUACACAACAAAAUUUGAAGUUAGCACAUUAGUCAAAUCUAGAGCACAAACUGAAGCUAAAAAAAGCACAUACCCCAUCGUUUAAGCACUUAAUGAACACCCAUCCGGGAUGUUCCGGCGUUGUAGACACGCGGCGCACGACCAUCCUUGGACAGUGGUCGCACUUAAUAAGUGGCAACGGUGCGCCGGCGAGCUUUUGGGCAAGCACCGAGCCCGGCCGACCGUCAUUCGUGUAUCUGCCGGCGGACCACCGACGAUGCAGAUCCGAGCGGCUAGAAGAGGAGCCACUGCCUGCAUGUGGCCUUGUGGCCCUGCCAGGGCCUUCCGGCGAGGUGCCCGGCCUCCCACAGCCGUCGAGCUCAAGACCGAUCGGAUCCGCCCCAAAAUCGGCCGGCGGGUGCGCAAACCAGGUGGCCGUGGUUGGGUAGCUCGGUGGUGCCGAGGGGAAGGGGUUGGGCGAGCUCGCGUCCGAACUGCACGACUGCAAUGGCAGCAGCGACGGUGGCAGCGAGGGAAAGAGUGGGGAAGAGUGGAGGGGGUGCGGCCGGAGGGAGGGAGGGGGACGGAUAGAAAAAGGGCCGCCUUGUGCCACCGACGGGCGGGCCAGGGGAGGACACGCGCAGACGACCCGUGCGUCCGCGUGCUGUCCGUUUCACCCUAAAAGCGGCGCAAACUUGGGCUGCGGAUGGGUCGAAAGCGGACACAAAACGGACAAAAGUCCGUUUGCUCCCGCGCGCUGGGCCGCCUCUUUUGUUCCUUUUACCCAAACGGACGGGGCCGGACAAGAUAGGGUCGCGCGGUGGAGUUGUCCUUAUUAUUAGGGGAAGAUAUAGAUAUAGAUUUGCCCACCAGUAAAAAGUCAUUUUUCCAAAUAAAACCAACCACCUAUCUGCUCGCCUCUUUCCCCACGCCGCCUGCUUCCGGUGAGAAGUAUAGCAGUGAGCUACUCCUACAACGGAGUGACCGAUCUACCACCACCACCCCACACCCACACGCCGCUCGCCCUCGUCUCGAGAUCUCUGGCGCUUCCCAUGAAUCCCCACCCCCUCCGCCUCGGCGCGCUCUUGGCGGCCCUCGUGCUUGCCGCCGGCGGCGGGUGGUGGGGCCGUGCGGAGGCGUCGAUCCACACCUACGGGCGCGAGUCGUUCCGCGAGGUGGGCAACGCUUUCCUCCUCUCCGGCGGCAGCGAGGGCAUCGUCGCCGACGGGGUCGAUCUCGCCGCCCCCGCCUCCUCCUUCAUCAAGUAAGGCCAGGGGUGUGUGCUUUUCUGUGUGACGCGUUGCGUUUGGACGGGCUGUGAAUAGCGGCUCUAUCAUUGCUUUGCUUGCUCACUAACAUUUAAUUCGAGUUUGACGUGGUUUCUCGUGGAUUAAGCAUUUUAGCUUGCUCCCAUGCGCCUCAAAGAAAUUUUGGAUUGCUAAUAGUUCAAGCUGCAUGCCUGCAACCCACAUUCUUCCCACCCAUUGUAAUUUUCAGUUCAUUAUGCACAAAAUUCGAGAGUUGUUGAUGCGUAUGUUGGCCUGUGUCGUAUUUGAGAUGAUGUUGGUGAGAUGAACAUGAUGAAGUAUUCACUUUUACUGACAGUUUUCUUUCUGUUUCAGUGUUUUAACUCUUUUGUUCACUGGAUUACCAAUAUGCUUGUAAACUGCUUUGAAACUUGUAGAUGUUUGUGAAUGUUACUUUCUGGAGGAACGCAGAAUCAGCAGAAUCACAUGCAAAAAUGGCACAUAGUACAGGCUUGGUGCAAGCUAUUUUAUUUGAAGCAGCUGACAGGGAUAACAUUGGGGGUUCUGCCUAUGGUGGACAGAGGUCCAUUUGUUGCACCCCUGACCUUGCUAAACUAGAGGGCUGCAAACAAGGUGAAGUAAUCAGGAGGCCAUCUUCUGAUGACCCAGCUUGGCCUGUCGUGGUAGAUACACACUUCAGUGCUAAUCACCUUUCAGUGAAGUUGGAUGAUGAGGAAGUUCACAUUACAAAGACAGGCAUGUACAACUUGUUCUUCAUUUCUUGUGAUCCAAAACUAAGGGGCCUUGCUAUGAGUGGGAAGACAAUCUGGAGAAAUCCUGGGGGGUACCUACCGGGACGAAUGGCACCUCUGAUGAGAUUUUAUGUUUUCAUGUCGCUGGCUUAUCUGUUAGUCAUGGUUGUCUGGUUUAGCAAUUACAUAAGGUUUUGGAGAGAUAUACUGCCAAUACAGAAUUGGAUCACACUAGUAAUUGCUCUUGGACUGUUUGAGAUGACACUAUGGUACUUUGAGUACUUAAACUUCAACAGCAGCGGUGUACGACCUGUCGGAAUUACAACUUGGGUUGUAACUGUUGGCGCUAUCAGAAAAACAAUUUCCCGUCUACUGAUCCUUUCUAUAUCCAUGGGAUACGGUGUUGUUCGCCCAACUCUAGGAGGGCUCACCUCUAAGGUUUUACUCCUUGGGCUUACAUAUUUCCUGGCUUCUGAAUUACUGGAUAUUUCAGAAAAUGUUGGAACAAUUAAUGACAUCUCAGGCAAAGCAAAGCUUUUCCUUGUCCUUCCUGAUGCAUUUUUGGAUGCUUUUCUCAUACUUUGGAUUUUCACUUCUCUUUCCCGCACUCUCGAGAAAUUACAGGCAAGGAGGAGUUCUGUGAAAUUGGAUAUAUACAGAAAGUUCACAAAUGCACUGGCGGUCUCUGUCAUAGCUUCAGUUGUCUGGAUUGGCUAUGAGGUCUAUUUCAAAGCAACAGAUCCCUUUAGUGAGAGAUGGCAGAGUGCCUGGAUCAUAACAGCCUUCUGGGACGUUCUUGCAUUUGUUUUGCUUAUUGUGAUAUGUUAUUUGUGGGCACCUUCCCAAAGCUCACAAAGAUAUGCAUAUUCAGGCGAAACUGUCGACGAUGACGAUGAUGAGGCUCAGUCUCUGACAAAAGGGUCUGAUGGUGAUGUGGGGAUGGUAAAGAUCGACAAAGACAGAAAUGCUGGUGUUAGCAGUGCUUUCAGCUUGGAAGAUGAUGAGGCUGAAGAGGACAAAAGAGAAUAGUAUUUCUUCCCUUGUUCCUUGUGCCCAGGUACCCCAGAAGCAAGUGGUUUGUUGGAGCGAGAAUGUUCCAUGGGUUCGAGUGUUUUUUUGGUGAUUCGAUGUCCUCUGAUGUUCCUACCUUAGACAGGUUUUGUUGUAGAAGCGUGUGAUUUUUACCCACACCGUGGAAGUGUGAUGACCCGUAUGGGGUGUGGGUCGGUGCUUGACUUUGAAGUGCCAGUGUGACAUUGCCCUCGUCUCGAGAAGGAACCCCAUACCAGAUUGGCGCUGAUGGGAACCGCUGAGGAGCCCCAUCCCAGGUUGGCGCCGAUGGGAACAGCUGGCGAAGCACCUCGUUGUCUUCGGGAGUGAAGACCAGUGUACUGUGAGUUGGACCAUGGCGGAGGUGCCCCUCUUGACCAUACGGUGAUUCAAAAUCGCCUCCCUAAGCAGGGGUAGUUUCUGUCAAAUCAGGUGCCCGUGGAAGCUCGGAGAAGACGAGCGUGUAAUCAGGCGCGAAUGCUGGGAGACAGAAUACCAGGUGGAUACGGCUUUCCCGUGGCAGUGUUAGCUUGUACACCAGAUUUCCCACCUUCUGCUCGAUUUCUGGUGGCAGUGCGAGCUUGUACGCCAGACUUCACCUUCUGCUCGACGCCCGGGUGGUUCGUUUACCGUGGACUGGACGUACGACUGCAGCUAUGAGGACACAUCCCCACGGCAUAUGUUGAGGUGGACAUUUUCAUGUGCAUGAAUGCAUGUUGUGGUGGGCCUUUUGCCAUGCAUGUUGCUUGAUGAUGUGGCAUACUUGCAUGUUGAGAGAAAUAUGUUAGUGAGGGUUAGCUAUUUAGAUAUAGAAGAUCCUCUGAUAAUUAACCCCCUCCCCAGCUUCUCCCAGAAUUGCCACUAUAUUUUCUUACAAUUCCUGGCUAAUUAGAUCUUAACUAGCUAGAAAUUGUAAAAAAAGAUGAAGUGGCAAUUCUGGAAGAAGCUGGGGAGGGGGUCAAUUCUUGGAGAAUUGCCCAAAAGAACUGGCCCUAAGGGUUGUUUGGUAGCAUGCAUAGUGUAUAGGCCAAAAAGUUCCCUACCCGGCCCACUUUUGCUUGUUUGGUAGAGUGCGCGGGCUCGCUUGAGCAUAGCCCAACCGAUGCAAAAAAGGGCCUCAGCAUAGCUGAGUCAAAGCACCCCAGACAGGCCUGCCGGGUCGAGCGAGGCUAAGACUGCACAAUGGGAGCGAGCGAGGCUGAGACCGUAUAGGAGAAAAUUCUCAUCUUGAUCCACUUUCCUCGACCUAGCUGCUGGUGAUUACCUACCCUGUCGCCAGUCCCCUUCUUCGAUCUCCCCGUUGCCUUGCUGAAGGUGUCUACCUCGCUGCCGGCCCACCCUUGUGCUCGGUCGGCCCUCCACUGGCCGCCGGCCCGCCCUUGCUCUUGGCUGGCCUCAACUCGCUGCCGUCGUCGGAGUAGAUCCUGACACGGGAGAGGUAGCAGAUCCGCCCCCUCCUUCCCUUCCUCCGCCCUCCUCU